rfam:Salmo salar isolate Sally breed double haploid chromosome ssa12, whole genome shotgun sequence.
CCCUGUGGCUCAGUUGGUCGAGCAUGGUGUUUGCAACGCCAGCAUGGUGUGUGUAACGCCAGGGUUGUGGGUUCGAUUCCUACCGGGG